GGUUGAUAUUCCUGUACUAGAGUAUAUCGUGAUGGAGGGACGCAGUAGGCUAACUAAACCAGACGAUUGGAAGUGUCUGGUCAAACAGUGAGGUGUGAUAUGAGUCAAAUGCUUAUAUCUUUAACAUUGAGCUGUGACGAGGAGCGAAGUUUAGUAGCGAAGUUAGUGAUGUCACACUGCCAAGAAAAGCUUCUAGCGAUACAUAUACUCUACCCGUACCGCAAACCGACACAGGUAGUCGAGGCGAGUAGCCUCAGGUGAGCGAGAGAACUCUCGUUAAGGAACUCGGCAAAAUGGCCCCGUAACUUCGGGAGAAGGGGCGCUGAUUUUAGAUCAGCCGCAGUGAAUAGGCCCAAGCAACUGUUUAUCAAAAACACAGCUCUCUGCUAAAUCGUAAGAUGAUGUAUAGGGGGUGACGCCUGCCCGGUGCUGGAA
rnacentral:rRNA from 1 species